rnacentral:rRNA from 1 species
UACAGAGGUGGCAAGCGUUGUUCGGAAUUACUGGGCGUAAAGGGCGCGUAGGCGGCCAUCUAAGUCAGACGUGAAAUCCCCCGGCUUAACCUGGGAACUGCGUCUGAUACUGGAAGGCUUGAGUAUGGGAGAGGGAUGUAGAAUUCCAGGUGUAGCGGUGAAAUGCGUAGAUAUCAGGAGGAACACCGGUGGUGUAGACGGCUUUCUGGACCGUAACUGACGCUGAGACACGAAAGCGUGGGUAGCAAACAGG